AACGAACGCUGGCGGCAUGCCUAACACAUGCAAGUCGAACGAGACCUUCGGGUCUAGUUGCGCACGGGUGCGUAACGCGUUGGAACCUGCCCUUAGGUUCGGAAUAACUCCCCGAAAGGGGUGCUAAUACCUGAUAAUGUCUUCGCACCAAAGAUUUAUCGCCCUUGGAUGGGCCCGCGUUUGAUUAGCUAGUUGGUAGGGUAAAAGCCUACCAAGGCGACGAUCCAUAGCUGGUCUGAGAGGAUGAUCAGCCACAAUGGGACUGAGACACGGACCAGACUCCUACGGGAGGCAGCAGUGGGGAAUAUUGGACAAUGGGGGAAAGUCUGAUCCAGCAAUGCCGCGUGAGUGAUGAAGGCCUUAGGGUUGUAAAGCCCUUUUAACCGGGAGGAUAAUGACAGUACCGGGAGAAUAAGCUCCGGCUAACUCCGUG
rnacentral:rRNA from 1 species